rnacentral:misc_RNA from 1 species
GAUGAAGAACGCAGCAAAAUGCGAUAAGUAGUGUGAAUUGCAGAAUUCAGUGAAUCAUCGAGUCUUUGAACGCACAUUGCGCCCCCUGGUAUUCCGGGGGGCAUGCCUGUCCGAGCGUCAUUGCUGCCCUCAAGCACGGCUUGUGUGUUGGGCCCCGUCCUCCGAUCCCGGGGGACGGGCCCGAAAGGCAGCGGCGGCACCGCGUCCGGUCCUCGAGCGUAUGGGGCUUUGUCACCCGCUCUGUAGGCCCGGCCGGCGCUUGCCGAUCAACCCAAAUUUUUAUCCAGGUUGACCUCGGAUCAGGUAGGGAUACCCGCUGAACUUAAGCAUAUCAAUAAGCGGAGGA